UUGUUUCUGGGCUUUGUUUGAUGGUUUCUUGGGUUGUUUUUUUUUUUUUUUCUUUCUGUGGGUGGAGAAGCUAUUUUAUUUUUAUUUCCGCCUGCUGUUCCUAUAGCAAACUCAUUUGGAAGCUCAGCCUGUUUGACUACUAAAUACUGCUGUGGAAAAUGAUCUAGAAGAGGAAGGUGUAAACAAUGAAUAUGGGGCUAAGUAAGGAUACUUGCUGCUGUCACAUCCCCCACUGGCUGACUGACUGCAAAAAUGAACCUUGCUUCCACCAAGAGACUAAGCCUAGGGAAGCCUAUUAGAGAAUGAAAGACCAUGGAGAAGAGUCAAUUUUCCCUGAAUGACGACGAGCCAACUCCCAGAAGCAAAACUGCCUAGCCUGACAUGCAGCAAAUUAUAGUAAAAUGAAGGUACCUAACUAAAAUCAGAAAAACACCCAACUCUCCAGACUAAGUUGCCAGAAUGCAAAAUAAUGAACUGCAUAAAGUGGUUGCUGUUUAAACCACUAUGUUUUGGAGUGCUCUAUCAC